AGCAGCCGCGGUAAUUCCAGCUCCAAUAGCGUAUAUUAAAGUUGUUGCAGUUAAAAAGCUCGUAGUUGAACUUCGGAAUUUGCCCAUUGGUCAGGCUUAACUGUCUGAACUGGUGUGACGAGUUCCUACCUUCUGAGGAAUCUCCAUGUCAUUCAGUUGGUGUGGGGGGGAAUCAGGACUGUUACUUUGAAAAAAUUAGAGUGUUUAAAGCAGGCAUCCGUCUGAAUACAUUAGCAUGGAAUAAUAAAAUAGGACGGUUUGGUUCUAUUUUGUUGGUUUCUAGGAUCACCGUAAUGAUUAAUAGGGAUAGUUGGGGGCAUUAGUAUUCAAUUGUCAGAGGUGAAAUUCUUGGAUUUAUUGAAGACUAACUACUGCGAAAGCAUUUGCCAAGGAUGUUUUC
rnacentral:rRNA from 1 species